rnacentral:rRNA from 1 species
CGUUCCCGGGCCUUGUANACACCGCCCGUCAAGCCAUGGAAACUAGGGGUACCCGAAAACGCUGCGCUAACCGCAAGGGAGCAGGCGUCUAAGGUAAAACUAGCGACUGGGGCU